rnacentral:rRNA from 1 species
AUGGCUCAGUGAGGCCUUGGGAUUGGCCAGGGGAGAUGGGCAACCAUCACCCCAGGCCGAAAACUUGGUCAAACUUGGUCAUUUAGAGGAAGUAAAAGUCGUAACAAGGUUUCCGUAGGUGAACCUGCGGAAGGAUCAUUACCGAGUUAGGGCCCCGACCGCCGGGGUCCGACCUCCCAACCCUGUGUCUAUCUAAACCUGUACGUGUUGCUUUGGCCGACCGGUGGUUUCUCCCGUCUUCGGUCGGGGGGAUCCGCCGCCGGGGGGAAACUCAAUAGCCCCUUGGAGAGGGUCGGCCAAUGGCCUUAACCACAAACUCUUUGACCACAAACAUGAACUGAAUCAUAAUUUCUUUUGAUAUCCAUCAAAAAGCAAAAUAAACCAAAAACUUUCAACAACGGAUCUCUUGGUUCUGGCAUCGAUGAAGAACGCAGCGAAAUGCGAUAAGUAAUGCGAAUUGCAGAAUUUCCGUGAGUCAUCGAAUCUUUGAACGCACAUUGCGCCCUUUGGUAUUCCGAAGGGCAUGCCUGUUCGAGCGUCAUUAUCCUCUCCUCAAACCCACUCUGGGUUUGGUGUUGGACCGCGUUGGGGGCGUAUCGUCUCACCAACUGGUCUUAAAGACAGUAACGGCGUCUGUGGGACCCUCCUCGCACUGAGCUUUUCGGGGCACGCGUGGGAGUUGCAAGGUCCUAGGGGCACGGUCCGGCCCUCGUGUGUGGGAUACUCCCCACACGGGAAGCCUCUUUUUUCUCAGGUUGACCUCGGAUCAGGUAGGAAUACCCGCUGAACUUAAGCAUAUCAAUAAGCGGAGGAAAAGAAACCAACAGGGAUUGCCUCAGUAACGGCGAGUGAAGCGGCAACAGCUCAAAUUUGAAAUCUGGCCUCACGGUCCGAGUUGUAAUUUGUAGAGGAUGUUUUGGGCACCGCCUCGGGUUAAAUUUCUUGGAACAGAAUGUCAAAGAGGGUGAGAGUCCCGUCUUGGCCCGCGGUAGGACCUAUGUAAAACUCCUUCGACGAGUCGACUUGUUUGGGAAUGCAGGUCAAAAUGGGUGGUAAAUUUCAUCUAAAGCUAAAUAUUGGCCAGAGACCGAUAGCGCACAAGUAGAGUGAUCGAAAGAUGAAAAGCACUUUGAAAAGAGAGUUAAACAGUAUGUGAAAUUGUUGAAAGGGAAGCGCUGGCAACCAGACUCGAGCGCGGUGUUCCCCCUGGCUUCUGCCUGGGUUACUUCACCGUGACCGGGCCAUCAUCAGUUUUGGGGGCCGGUCAAAGGUCCGGGGAAUGUAUCCUCUCCUUCGGGGGAGGACUUAUAGCCCCGGGCGUCAUGCGGCCUCCCGGGACUGAGGAACGCGCUUCGGCGAGGAUGAUGGCGUAAUGGUUGUCAGCGACCCGUCUUGAAACACGGACCAAGGAGUCUAACAUCUAUGCAAGUGUUCGGGUGUCAAACCCUUGCGCGGAAUGAAAGUGAACGGAGGUAGGAAGGCCUGAGCCUGCACUAUCGACCGAUCCUGAUGUCUUCGGAUGGAUUUGAGUAAGAGCAUAGCUGUUGGGACCCGAAAGAUGGUGAACUAUGCGUGAAUAGGGUGAAGCCAGAGGAAACUCUGGUGGAGGCUCGCAGCGGUUCUGACGUGCAAAUCGAUCGUCAAAUUUGCGUAUAGGGGCGAAAGACUAAUCGAACCAU